rnacentral:rRNA from 1 species
UACGUAGGGUGCGAGCGUUAAUCGGAAUUACUGGGCGUAAAGCGUGCGCGGGCGGUUUUGUAAGCCAGAUGUGAAAUCCCCAGGCUUAACCUGGGAACUGCGUCGGAUACUGGAUGGCUUGAAUUCGGGAGAGGGAUGCAGAAUUCCAGGUGUAGCGGUGAAAUGCGUAGAUAUCUGGAGGAAUACCGGUGGCGAAGGCGGCAUCCUGGACCGACAUUGACGCUGAGGAGCGAAAGCUAGGGGAGCAAACGGG